rnacentral:sRNA from 1 species
UAUUCUGUCCCACGGGGAAGGAUGAGAAGCUUCGAAUAAGGUUCGACUCGAGCGAAGCGAGAGAACGUUGCCGCAGGCAACGGCCCGAAGG